GCACAUGAUACUAAUGUAAAAUUGGAUCACGAAUAACCUAACCCCAGGCAGGAUCUUAAAUACGAUCAAUAAAUCUCACGUUCAAGUAACAAAUCAAAGCAACCAAUCAUAACCAAAUCUGAUAUGGCAGAAAAUAUGUUAAAAUCUCAGAAUUCCAGAAUAGACUUUAAGGUGCUUCGAUGGCAGCACUUGGAACAUC